rnacentral:rRNA from 1 species
GCAGGCGCGAAACCUUUACACUGCACGACAGUGCGAUAGGGGGAUCCCAAGUGCACAGGCAUAGCGCCUGUGCUUUUCGGUACCCUAAGGCGGUACCAGAAUAAGGGCUGGGCAAGACCGGUGCCAGCCGCCGCGGUAAUACCGGCAGCCCAAGUGAUGGCCGAUCUUAUUGGGCCUAAAGCGUCCGUAGCUGGCCGUACAAGUCCAUCGGGAAAUCCACCUGCUCAACAGGUGGGCGCCCGGUAGAAACUGUGUGGCUUGGGACCGGAAGGCGCGACGGGUACGUCCGGGGUAGGAGUGAAAUCCCGUAAUCCUGGACGGACCGCCGAUGGCGAAAGCACGUCGCGAGAACGGAUCCGACAGUGGGGGACGAAAGCCAGGGUCUCGAACCGGAUUAGAUACCCGGGUAGUCCUGGCCGUAAACAAUGUCUGCUAGGUGUGGCUCCCACUACGAGUGGGUGCUGUGCCGUAGGGAAGCCGCUAAGCAGACCGCCUGGGAAGUACGUCCGCAAGGAUGAAACUUAAAGGAAUUGGCGGGGGAGCACUACAACCGGAGGAGCCUGCGGWUUAAUUGGAUUCAACGCCGG